GCCGGGGUAGCUCAAUCGGUAGAGCGUGUGGCUCUUAGCCCUCUUGCUAAGGUUACCUCAAGGUCGCGAGUUCGAGCCUCGCCUUCGGCU